GGCGGGCUAGCGUAAUGGUUAACGCGCCAGUUUCCGGUUUCUUCAACCACCAGCUGGAGAUUCUGAGUUCGAGUCUCAGGUUCGUCG
rnacentral:tRNA from 1 species